rnacentral:rRNA from 1 species
AUUGAACGCUGGCGGAAUGCUUUACACAUGCAAGUCGAACGGUAGAGGGGGCAACCCCCUUGAGAGUGGCGAACGGGUGAGUAAUAUAUCGGAACGUGCCCAGUCGUGGGGAUAACGUAGCGAAAGUUACGCUAAUACCGCAUACGAUCUAAGGAUGAAAGCGGGGGAUCGCAAGACCUCGCGCGAUUGGAGCGGCCGAUAUCAGAUUAGGUAGUUGGUGAGGUAAAGGCUCACCAAGCCAACGAUCUGUAGCUGGUCUGAGAGGACGACCAGCCACACUGGAACUGAGACGCGGUCCAGACUCCUACGGGAGGCAGCAGUGGGGAAUUUUUGGGACAAUGGACGCAAGUCUGAUCCAGCCAUUCCGCGUGCAGGAUGAAGGCCCUCGGGUUGUAAACUGCUUUUGUACGGAACGAAAAGGUUUGUCUUAAUACGAUGAGCUCAUGACGGUACCGUAAGAAUAAGCACCGGCUAACUACGUGCCAGCAGCCGCGGU